rnacentral:rRNA from 1 species
UGUCGUCAGCUCGUGUCGUGAGAUGUUGGGUUAAGUCCGCACGAGCGCAACCCCUACGCAUUCAGUUGCCAACGGUAAGGCCGGGCACUCUGGAUGGACUGCCGGCGACAAGCCGGAGGAAGGUGGGAUGACGUCAAGUCAUCAUGGCCCUUAUGUCCAGGGCGACACACGUGCUACAAUGGCCGGCACAGCGGGAAGCGAGGGGGCGACCUUGAGCGGAUCCCUCAAAGCCGGUCUCAGUUCGGAUUGCAGUCUGCAACUCGACUGCAUGAAGUUGGAAUCGCUAGUAAUCGUGGAUCAGCCAGGCCGCGGUGAAUACGUUCUCGGGGUUU